CACGCCCUAAACGAUGGAUACUAGGUGUUGGUGGUCUUUACCCCACCAGUGCCGAAGCAAACGCGAUAAGUAUCCCGCCUGGGGACUACGGUCGCAAGACUAAAACUCAAAGGAAUUGACGGGGACCCGCACAAGCAGCGGAGCGUGUGGUUUAAUUCGAGGCUACACGAAGAACCUUACCUGGGUUUGACAUGCUAGUGGUAGCGACGCGAAAGCCGAGCGACCCUUCGGGGAGCUAGCACAGGUGC
rnacentral:rRNA from 1 species